GCCCCCAUAGCUCAGUGGAUAGAGCAACUGCCUUCUAAGCAGUCGGCCGCAGGUUCGAAUCCUGCUGGGGGUA
rnacentral:tRNA from 1 species